UUGCACGCUGGCGGCAGGCCUAACACCUGCCAGUCGAACGGUAACAGGAAGAAGCUUGCUUCUUUGCUGACGCGUGGCGGACGGGUGAGUAAUGUCUGGGAAACUGCCUGAUGGAGGGGGAUAACUACUGGAAACGGUAGCUAAUACCGCAUAACGUCGCAAGACCAAAGAGGGGGACCUUCGGGCCUCUUGCCAUCGGAUGUGCCCAGAUGGGAUUAGCUAGUAGGUGGGGUAACGGCUCACCUAGGCGACGAUCCCUAGCUGGUCUGAGAGGAUGACCAGCCACACUGGAACUGAGACACGGUCCAGACUCCUACGGGAGGCAGCAGUGGGGAAUAUUGCACAAUGGGCGCAAGCCUGAUGCAGCCAUGCCGCGUGUAUGAAGAAGGCCUUCGGGUUGUAAAGUACUUUCAGCGGGGAGGAAGGGAGUAAAGUUAAUACCUUGGCUCAUUGACGUUACCCGCAGAAGAAGCACCGGCUAACUCCGUG
rnacentral:rRNA from 1 species